AUGGCCCCUCCAGCCACAGCCUCUGAACUCCGUGCCGUCCUGGGAGAGACCCAAGAGACCCAGAAAUCCGUGUCCACGCUCCACAUGUGCACGAAUGUUCACAGCAGCGUUACUUGUAAUCACCAAAAGGUGGAAACAGCCCAUAAGGCCAUCAGCUGGCGAAUGGAUGGGAAAGAUGUGUUCUUUCUGUGUAAUGGAGCGUUAUCCGGCAGUAGGAGGAACAGAGGACUGACACCCACACAAGGUGCAUGGACUUGGAAGACAUGCAAAGUUAAAGAGGCCCGCCACAGGAAACCACCGACUGUAGGGCUCCACCAGUAGGACGUGUCCAGAACAGGCAAAUCCACAGAGCCGGGAAGUGGAUGACUGGUUGCCUUGGGCUGGAGGGGUUGGGGGUAAAAUGUGGAGGGACUGCCCGGGGGUAGAGAGUUUCUCUCUGGGGUGACAAUAAUGUUCUCAAAUUACAUAGUUAGGAUGGUUACACACCUCUGUGGCAAAACACUAAAACACACUGGGUUUUAUAUGUUGAGUAUACAUUUUAUGGAUGUAAAUUAUAUCUUGAGUUAAAACAAAAUUUUUUUUCAACAUCCCAAGGACGUUGGUUUGCCAAAGCCUGGGUCAGUGAAUGAAAGGCAACAACAGGAGGAAAGGAACACAGAGAUUUCUGGUCUUGGGUCAGGAGAG
rnacentral:lncRNA from 1 species